UACGUAGGGUGCGAGCGUUGUCCGGAAUUACUGGGCGUAAAGGGCGCGCAGGCGGUCCUUCAAGUCAGGCGUGAAAGCCCCGGGCUCAACCUGGGAAUAGCGCUUGAGACUGAGGGACUUGAGUUCGGGAGAGGAGAGCGGAAUUCCCAGUGUAGAGGUGAAAUUCGUAGAUAUUGGGAAGAACACCGGUGGCGAAGGCGGCUCACUGGCUCGUAACUGACGCUCAUGCACGACAGCGUGGGGAUCAAACAGG
rnacentral:rRNA from 1 species